AAACGAUAGCUAAUACCGCAUAACAAUAGAGAUUGCAUAAUCUUUAUUUGAAAGUGCCAACUGGUACACUAUGAGAUGGACCCGCGUUGUAUUAGCUAGUUGGUAGUGUAAUGGACUACCAAGGCGAUGAUACAUAGCCGACCUGAGAGGGUGAUCGGCCACAUUGGGACUGAGACACGGCCCAAACUCCUACGGGAGGCAGCAGUAGGGAAUCUUCGGCAAUGGACGAAAGUCUGACCGAGCAACGCCGCGUGAGUGAAGAAGGUUUUCGGAUCGUAAAACUCUGUUGUUAGAGAAGAAUGUUGAUUAGAGUGGAAAAUUAAUCAAGUGACGGUAUCUAACCAGAAAGGGACGGCUUACUACGUG
rnacentral:rRNA from 1 species